CCUACGGGAGGCAGCAGUGAGGAAUAUUGGUCAAUGGACGAGAGUCUGAACCAGCCAAGUAGCGUGAAGGAUGACUGCCCUAUGGGUUGUAAACUUCUUUUAUAUGGGAAUAAAACGUUCCACGUGUGGGAUUUUGUAUGUACCAUAUGAAUAAGGAUCGGCUAACUCCGUGCCAGCAGCCGCGGUAAUACGGAGGAUCCGAGCGUUAUCCGGAUUUAUUGGGUUUAAAGGGAGCGUAGGUGGAUGGUUAAGUCAGUUGUGAAAGUUUGCGGCUCAACCGUAAAAUUGCAGUUGAAACUGGCAGUCUUGAGUACAGUAGAGGUGGGCGGAAUUCGUGGUGUAGCGGUGAAAUGCUUAGAUAUCACGAAGAACUCCGAUUGCGAAGGCAGUUCACUGGACUGCAACUGACACUGAGGCUCGAAAGUGUGGGUAUCAAACAGGAUUAGAUACCCGUGUAGUC
rnacentral:rRNA from 1 species